GAUUGAAGAGUCCGCUGUUGGAUGUUGGGCUCAAGUGUUUGUGUGAACGGUGCGUGAUCUGGUGAAUGUCGCUCACUCACUGACUAUGGAGGAUGGAAAAUGAGCCUCAAAUACAAUCUACCGCACACAUCUCCAGAAAGUAGGAUGUUGGAGCUAAACCAUGCCGCAGCUUGACCUCACUGACAGUCUGCUGAAAGUCUUUGCAAAGCGAUCAGGGGAGCAGGGAACAGAACUGAAAGACAUGGCUGCCACGAUGACAGACAUGAAUGAGGCCACUGCACUGAGUGCCAUCUAGAAAACAACCACUGGAGUCUACAUCACCAGAAAGACACUCGGCAAUGACUUUUCUGAUGUUGGGUGGGUGUCGUGGUACUUCGAGGUCUGGAUAAUGUGGCCAUUGCAACAGCCGUGCUGUUUGAACUUUUUUUACAUCUUGAACAUCAGGUACCCUCCUCAACUCUGUUUCACAUUCGAGGUGAUACAAAAGUUGGUAAUGGAGUUCGAUGUGACUCAACCCUUGAAAUAAAUCAAUAAGUUCAUCAAGGAAAACCACUUGUCAGUAAAUGUAUAAAUACGCUUCAACCAUUGUUCACUUAACAUGUCAUAUCAACGGGGCCAGUUGUUGGGUUUUUGGCAGCGUUGUUCAAUUUUAGAUCCUGUUCAUCUUUUAAAGUGAAGAAAU